ensembl:lncRNA
UAUAUUUGACCUGCUUUCUCAUUAUUGUUUAUCUAUUUAUACAUGUCUAAUCUUCUGUCUGCAAUCCUGGCUCAGCUUUUUAAUAUUUGUACAAGUCAUCUUGAUGUAGGAAAACAUCAAGAUGACUGUAUACCUUAAAGUCAAAUAUUUUAGUGUGAUUCACUUGAAUAAUUAGAACCUUCACCUAUGUUAUUCCUCAAUUGAAUUGUAGUUUUUUUCAGAAUGUCAAAAGACUAAAGGAGGAGACUAGCUUCCUUGAAGAUAAGUGGGCAGAGCUGGACAUAAACGAAGCUGUGCUUCAGGAGUGGGUUGCUGAGGUCCAGCAGUGGCCUGAAAGUAUGUUCGGUUCUGAACAAAUAGAGCAUAUAUGGCCCACACCGAAAACCAUCUGACUACAGUCCUAUCCCAUACUAUGUUUCCAACACGUUCUAAUUUUUCAAGUGAAUCAUACUAAAAUAUUUGACUUUAAGCAGUGUCUUCUCUCUUCAACUGCUAACUUUAUCUCGAGUUGAGUUCCACUUCCCUCAUUGCCCUAGUUCCUCAGCGACAGGCGUGCCUUAUCAGGAAGUGAAACUAGACUGCUCCCCUUUGUCUCCUUCCUUAGAAAUAUCAAAAUUCAGCAGAAUAUUAAUAUUUGAACAGAAAAUGAAAUUUCUUCACAUCCCCUUGCCUCACUCAGUAACUUUCCAUGCACAAAGUUCAUAUUAACUCUCAACUCUCAAAUAACUAUAUUUCAAGCCAGAAUCCAACAUGUAGAAAAGUGAAUGUUUAUCUGUCUCUCAACUUCAUAAUUGUAUUGAUGUCAGUGGAGUCAUGUUUGUAACCUGUCCUAUGUUUGACAGCCAACCUUCAGGAUAGUCAGACAGGGCAUCUCCAGAAGAAGAUUGAGGGGCUUUACCUCAGUGUGAACCAGAGGAAACACUACCUCUACUGUUUGACAGACGGCAACAAGAGAAGGCAUCAGAUUCUGAGAAAAAUUGUUGAGGACAAGGCAGCCUUGACAGCUGCCAUUGUUCAACUUCCCACACAGUAGGCAGAGUUUAGGCUCCCCACAGUGGAUGAGCUGCUCAAUACUGACAACUUUUUGUGGCCAUGGGAGAGACCUAGCACCAGCAACAGCCAUCUUGCCAUCAAAAAGGCAAUCUUCAACAGACUGAUGUUGGUGAACAGACUGCAGGAGGAAGAGAGGGUCCUGGUGCAGGAGAUGAAGAGGCACUGGGGAGCCUACAAAGUACAGGGGGAACUCUGGAGGCACUGUCCGUACAGUUGCAAGAUCAGAGCAAUGCAGUGGAGUUGUCAGAGGGAGGGAGGAAUGGCCUUCUCUUCCUCCUGAAGAGAAGAUUGAGUGAACUGACACAAGAACAAGACAACACCAGGAACAACUACCAAAAGCUGAUUCUGGGAGAAGGGGCUAUUUUAAUGACUCUGAUGCAAAUGAAAACUCAGAUGAAGAUAGAAGUCCUAUUACUGAGAGCUCAGAUGGCGACUGCUAUGCUUUCUGAAAUCAUACACCACCCCGGCCUCUUUCUCUCGGACUCUCUCUCUCCCGCAGGAGAGGGGGAAGGCUGCCACCACCUCCCUCAUGAGCAGCCAGGGUUCCGACAUUGACCCCUGACCCCUUAUCUUCUGAACGCAUCCAGGGAAAUGUAUUUUGCCUGAUGAUGGUCUAGUGGAGAUUUGUUGCCAUGUUUCCUCUCCUCACCUCCUCCCCUUCCGGUCCUAGACUAUGGCGACAUCAUCAGCAACUCAGAAUGUUGGUUGAGGAUCUCUUUACUGAGGAAUGUGGUUGUUCUUCAUGAUUAAAAAUAUCUAUAUAUUUUCUAUGCUACUGGGAUUGUGAUUUUUUUGUGUAAUUUUGAGUUGCAAAAGAGUCCUAGGUCUCAAUGGGUCUGCUAAAAUAAAU